AUUGAACGCUGGCGGCGUGCUUAACACAUGCAAGUCGAUCGGUAACGCGGGGGCAACCCUGGCGACGAGAGGCGGACGGGUGAGGAACGCUUGGGAAUCUGCCUAUCAGCGGGGGACAACACGGGGAAACUCGUGCUAAUACCGCAUACGCUCUACGGAGGAAAGCCGGGGACCGCAAGGCCUGGCACUGAUAGAUGAGCCCAAGCCGGAUUAGCGAGUUGGCGGGGUAACGGUCCACCAAGGCGACGAUCCGUAGCUGGUCUGAGAGGACGAUCAGCCCAACUGGAACUGAGACACGGUCCAGAGUCCUACGGGAGGCAGCAGUGGGGAGUAUUGGACAAUGGGGGAAACCCUGAUCCAGCGACGCCGCGUGGGUGAAGAAGGCCUGCGGGUUGUAAAGCCCUUUCGGUAGGGACGAAAGCUCUCGACCUAACACGUCGGGAGGUUGACUUAACCUACAGAAGAAGCACCGGCUAACUCUGUGCCAGCCGCCGCAGUAACAC
rnacentral:rRNA from 1 species